AUACACAUAUGGGGACAUUCGAUAAAAUUGGAACGAUACAGAGAAGAUUAGCAUGGCCCUUGUGCAAGGAUGACCCACACAAAUCGAAAAAUGGUAUCAGAGCCA